rnacentral:rRNA from 1 species
CAGUCGCCGCGGGAAUACGUAGGGUGCGAGCGUUAAUCGGAAUUACUGGGCGUAAAGCGUGCGCAGGCGGUUCGUUAAGACAGAUGUGAAAUCCCCGGGCUUAACCUGGGAACUGCAUUUGUGACUGGCGAGCUAGAGUAUGGCAGAGGGGGGUAGAAUUCCACGUGUAGCAGUGAAAUGCGUAGAGAUGUGGAGGAAUACCGAUGGCGAAGGCAGCCCCCUGGGCCAAUACUGACGCUCAUGCACGGAAGCGUGGGGAGCAAACAGGAUUAGAUACCCCGGUAGUCCCUGUCUCUUAUAC